GGAUGUGAGGGCGACCUGGCUGCGACAUCUGUCACCCCAUAGAUCGCCAGGGUUGAUUCAGUUGAUCUAGCUGGCUAGGCGGGUGUCCCCUUCUUCCCUCACCACUCCGUGUGCGUCCCUCACUCCUCCUGAAGCUGCACCCUUGGCACCCUCAGUCAAAGAGGAUGGCUGGACUGGUUGGUCUUCGGCCCAGGGUAUAUGAGUAACUGCGCUCCCCUGCUAGAACCUCCAAACCAGCUCUCAAAAACCAGGUCUAAUUUUGUCACAAGGUAAAAAUCUUAUGAAUUCUGAGUAAACAUGAUUGCAGGAGCAUGUAAUUUACUU
ensembl:misc_RNA 7SK 7SK RNA